rnacentral:tRNA from 1 species
GCCUGUCUGGCUCAGUUGGAAGAGCAUGUGACUUUUGAUCUUGAGGUUCUGAGUUCGAGCCCCACGUUGGGUA